GACGAACGCUGGCGGCGUGCUUAACACAUGCCAGUCGAACGGAAAGGCCCUGCUUUUGUGGGGUGCUCGAGUGGCGAACGGGUGAGUAACACGUGAGUAACCUGCCCUUGACUUUGGGAUAACUUCAGGAAACUGGGGCUACUACCGGAUAGGAGCUCCUGCUGCAUGGUGGGGGUUGGAACGUUUCGGCGGGUGGGGAUGGACUCGCGGCUUAUCAGCUUGUUGGUUGAGUAGUGGCUUACCAAGGCUUUGGCGGGUAGCCGGCCUGAGAGGGUGACCGGCCACAUUGGGACUGAGAUACGGACCAGACUGCUACGGGAGGCAGCAGUGGGGAAUAUUGCACAAUGGGCGGAAGCCUGAUGCAGCAACGCCGCGUGCGGGAUGACGGCCUUCGGGUUGGAAACCGCUGUAGCCUGUGACGAAGCGUGAGUGACGGUAAUGGGUAAAGAAGCACCGGCUAACUACGUG
rnacentral:rRNA from 1 species